CAUUAGACAGAUAUUAGGGGAACAAUUGGGAGUAUUGGGCCAGGCUGUCCGCUAGCGCUCUUCACUACGAUCAACGAGGAAGCCUUCUCUGGAGGACGAGAUCUGGGAGUUUAUACUCAAACGCAGAAUAACAGCAUGCUGUGUCAGCAGUCUGGUCUGAAACAUGUCAUGAAUCCAAGGGAACGGAGAUGUUGUCCAACCUAUGGAAGGAAAACAGAGAGGGAGAAAAUGAAAGAGAAAGAGAGGGCAUCAUGCUGCUCGCAAACUGACAAUUCCAGCGACUCUGUCAGACAGCAGUUGACUGCUACUCUGCUAUUCCUGUUAGAGGGUUGAACCCACUCUGCCUUGUUGGCACAGAUAUUUUUAGCCCUGGCGUUUUGCAGAGAGACCAGCACUAAGAGUGAUGGGGCCACACAGGCCUCAAGGGCAGCGGUGGGAUGAAGAGGGCGGAGGCGGGCAAGGUCACAUGAGGCCACUGGAGACGAGAGACUGGAAGAUGAGGUCCAAAUUUUUUGAGCAAAAAUCACCCCCCAAAAACAUGUACUACAAUGAACUUGAUGUGAACAAGACCUGAUGUGAACAAGCCAUAUGUCUGGAUAAUUUGCACACAAUGUUCAGCUGUUUGAAGACAUUUUGUGUCCAGCUUGAUUCCAAUUUGUUUCUGUAUUUCUCCUUUCAUAAUAAUGAACCAUCAUGGACCAAAUCUGAAGCUUUGGACUUCCUCCAAAGUGCAGCUACAAAAAUGUUUUGUUGUCUUCACUUCCCAUCAUUUCUAUUUCACUUUUACAGAUUGAAUACUGAACUGUACUCUCACUGCCCCAGCCCGGUCACUGUGACACAGCUCGCUUAUUUUUUCCUGUACAAUAUAGUGUGUUUCCCCCUCCCUUGUUCUGGAGCAUCCAGACCUGUAGGUUGAGGGGUUGCAAUGUGUUUUUUCUUUUAUUUUGGUGCUGUUCUGCUGAGCAGACAGACCCUAAAGAGAAAUCCCAUUUCAAAUUAAAUUUAAAUGACCCCCCAAGCUCAUAAACAGUGGGUCGCCUGACAGCCUAAUUUAUAAUUCAGCACUGAGCUAGGGGCUCCUGGUUUGAUGUUAAGGAAAGGUGGCCUGAGAACGAGUCUUUGCAUCUGAG